UAGUGCAUGGGUUUUUAUAUGUUCCUCCAAAUAUAUAGACCUACUUAGAUUAUCACAAAAUUUUAAUGGCUUGUGUCGAAUAGUUGUCAUAUUGUAAAGAAAAAAUGGACAAUAACCAAUGAAAAUUUUAUUGUUUUACGAUGUCAUCUUUAGGUUACACAUCUUGGUAAAAGUUUAAAAGAAGACAGAAAUUAUUUACUUUAUUAAUAAAGCCUAAAAAGAAGCAUUAGCCGUUAUUUUGAAUUCAAAAAUUUGAUAGACAUUUCCUAGUCUAUAAAAAAUAAUAAAGUAGUUAUUAUGUU
rnacentral:lncRNA from 1 species